GAAGGCUCCGCCUCUAGUGCCCACAACUCAGGAUCCCGAGCUGGCACCGCCACUCACCCGGAGCUAAAGCCCUUGGCCUGCAGCCAGGACCCAGGACCUGGCUACCAGCACUUCUUACCUCAAGACCCAGGAGUCUGCCCUGGCUUACCAGAAUUCCGGCAGGGCUUUGGCUGCGCCCUACCCGGGGCCCUGGGUGGGGUGUCAGGAUAUUAUAGGGUGAGGAGGUGGAGGAAGAGGGAUGUAAAGUGACCGGGUGAUGGAAAGGUCUCAGAACAAGAAAGAGGCGGAGCUGACCUGGAACCCAGGCAGGCUAGCCCCCGAGCCCAUGUCCUGAGCAACUCUGCUCUCCUGUGCAUGCAGCUGCACAUGAACCUGAGCUCUGCCCUGGCCUCGACUUCUUAACUGCUAGCCUGUACAACCUCAUGGACGUCUCAUUCUUCCGGGAAGGGAUUAUUAUUAUGAUUCCCAUUUUCUCUCCAAAGAACUCAAAAGCUGGGGUCAAGCCCAAGAUUCAGAAGCACAGAGGUAGGGUAGGGAGGGGGUUCCGCAAGACCAGGCAUCUGGGGGGAGGGGAGCAGGAUUUGGGCUCUGACCCCCCAGUAAGAGGGAUCUCAGCCCAGAUCAG